rnacentral:misc_RNA from 1 species
GAUGAAGAACGUAGUGAAAUGCGAUAAGUAGUGUGAAUUGCAGAAGUACCGUGAAUCAUCGAAUCUUUGAACGCAAAUUGCACUCUCUGGUAUUCCGGGGAGUAUGCCUGUUUGAGGGUCGCUUAACAAACCAUCGAUUUCGUUGCUUUUUUUUUAAAGAGUGAUGUUUAUCGGAUUUGAGCCGUCUUUUUUUUUAUAUUUAAAAGUGGCUUAAAAUUGAUUUUUUUGGUACGAUCGAAGCGUAUUGUUAUGAUCAAUUUUUGGUUAAAGAAACGCACACGUACCGUUAUUUAUAUGAUGUAAUACGUUUGACUAUUGGAUUUAGUUCAUUCGUAUACGAUAUCUUUCAAUAUUUGACCUCAAAUCAGGUAAGAACACCCGCUGAACUUAAGCAUAUCAAUAAGCGGAGGA